CCUGGUUGAUCCUGCCAGUAGUCAUAUGUUGUCUCAAAGAUUUUGCCAUGCAUGUGUAAGUUAUAACUAAUUCAGACUGUGAACUGCGAAUGGCUCAUUAAAUCAGUUAUAGUUUGUUCUUGAUGGUAUCUGCCUACUCGGUAACCGUAGUAAUUCUAGAGCUAAUAUGUGCAACAAAACCCCGAGCUUCGGUAGAAGGGAAAUGCAUUUUAUUAGAUAAAAGGUCGACCGCUGGGGCUCUGCCCUGUUGCUCUGAUUGAUUCAUGAUAACUCGACGAUCGCCACGGCCAUCAUACCGCAAGCAUUAUUCAAAUUUCUGCCCCCUAUCAACAUUCGAUGGUAGGAUAAGAGGCUACCAUUUUGGUUGACAGGUGACGGAGAAUAUAGGUUUGAUUCCGGAGAGGGAGCCUAGAAACGGCUAUCACAUCCAAGGAAGGCAGCAGGCGGCGCAAAUUAUCCCAAUCCUGAACACGGGAGUAGUGACAAUAAAUAACACUACCCCAAGCCUCUUCGAGUCUGUAAUUGGAAUGAGGUUACAAUCUAAAAUCCCUUAACGAGGACUCAUUGGAGGGCAAGUCUGGUGCCAGCAGCGCGUACAUUCCAGUUCAAUAGCGGUAUAUUUAAGUUGUUGCAGUUAAAAGCUCGAGUUGACCUUGGGUUGCGGUUGUCGACCAGUCCGCCUUGCGGUUGUGCACCUGUUCGGCUCGUCCCUCUGCCGGCGAUGCGCUAUCGCUUAAUUUGGCGGGUCGUGCCUCCGGGCGCUGUUACUUUUGAAGAAAUUAAAGUGCUCAAAGCAAGCCUUACACUUUCUGGAUACAUUAGCAUGAGAUACAUCAUAGGAUUUUGUCCCUAUUGUGUUGGCCUUCGGUUCGGAGUAUGAUUAAACAAGGACAGUCGGGGGGCAUUCGAUUAUUUCAUAGUCAGGGGGGUGAAUUCUUGGAUUUAUGAAAAGAACGAACAACUGCGAAGCAUUUGCCAAAGGGAUGUAUUCAUUAUCAAGAACGAAAGUUGGUGGGCUCGAAGAACAAUCAGACUAUUACCGUCUAGUCUCAACAUAAACCGAUGCCGACCACGGGAUCGGUCGGCGGAUGUUGCUUUUAGGACUCCGCCGGCACCUUAUGAGAAAUCAAAGUCUUUGGGUUCCGGGGGGAGUAUGGUCGCAAGGCUGAAACUUAAAGGAAAGGGCACUGCCAAAUUGGAGCCUGCGGCCUUUAAUUUGACUCAACGCGCGGAACUUACUAGGUGCAGGAGUGAGUAAGGAGUUGACAGACUGAGAGUCUCUUCUGAUUCUAUAGGGUGUGGUGCAUGGCGAUUCUUAGUUGGUGUCGAGCGAUCUUGUACUGAUUAAUUCCGUUAACGAACGAGACCUCAACGAACGAGACCUCAGCCUGCUAACUAGCUAUGCGGAGGUGACCCUCCGCGGCCAGCUUCUUAGAGGGACUAUGGCCUUUUAGGCCAAGGAAGUUUGAGGCAAUAACAGGUCUGUGAUGCCCUUAGAUGUUCUGGGCCGCACGCAGCUGAUGUAUUCCAAAUUGAGUCUAUACAUUUGGCGAUAGCGGGAAUCUUUGAAAUUUCAUCGUGCAUGGGGAUAGCAUUGCAAUUGUUGGUCCUUCAACGAGAAAUUCCUUAGUAAGCGCGACGCAUUUGGCAGCUCGCGUUGGACUACGUCCCUUCCCUUUGUUACACCACCGCUCGUCGGCUACCAGAUUGAAUGUCCGGUGGAAGUGUUCGAUUGCGUGCGACGGUGGGCGGUUCGCGGCGACGUCGCCGAGAAGUUCCAUUGAACCUUAGUCAUUAGAGGUAAGGAGAAGUCGUAACAAAAGUUUCCGUUACUCGGAAGGAUCAUU
rnacentral:rRNA from 1 species